UACAGAGGUCCCAAGCGUUGUUCGGAUUCACUGGGCGUAAAGCGCGCGCAGGCGGUCCUUUAAGUCUGAUGUGAAAGCCCACGGCUCAACCGUGGAGGGUCAUUGGAAACUGGGGGACUUGAGUACAGAAGAGAAGAGUGGAAUUCCACGUGUAGCGGUGAAAUGCGUAGAGAUGUGGAGGAACACCAGUGGCGAAGGCGACUCUUUGGUCUGUAACUGACGCUGAGGCGCGAAAGCGUGGGGAGCAAACAGG
rnacentral:rRNA from 1 species